GUUCAAGAGGGAAAAAACCCAGCUAUUCACAGUGGUGUAUUCUGGGUCCCUUCACCUCCAGAGAACACUGCUCUCAGGAAGGAAUACCUGAAUACCUGAAAAGCACUUGCUUUUUCUGUUCCAGAAGGAAAGAAAGCUAAUGGGAGAAAUAGUAUUUCCACUGCAUGAUGUGGAUGAGA